rfam:Ictidomys tridecemlineatus contig010915, whole genome shotgun sequence.
GGGGUUGUGGCUCAGUAGUAGAAUGCUUGCCUGGCACGCAUGAGGCACUGGGUUCAAUUCUCAGCACCA